UGGGGAAUAUUGCACAAUGGAGGGAACUCUGAUGCAGCGACGCCGCGUGAGUGAUGAAGGAAUUCGUUUCGUAAAACUCUGUUCUAUGGGAAGAAAAGGACUGUACCAUAGGAGAAAGCUCCGGCUAAAUACGUGCCAGCAGCCGCGGUAAUACGUAUGGAGCGAGCGUUGUCCGGAAUUAUUGGGCGUAAAGGGUGCGCAGGCGGCUUUACAAGUUGGAUGUGAAAUAUUGUGGCUCAACCACAAACGUGCAUCCAAAACUGCAAAGCUUGAGUUAAGGAGAGGUAAGUGGAAAUCCUGGUGUAGCGGUGGAAUGCGUAGAUAUCAGGAGGAAUACCGGUGGCGAAGGCGACUUACUGGACUUAAACUGACGCUCAGGCACGAAAGCGUGGGGAGCAAACAGG
rnacentral:rRNA from 1 species